AUGCGGCCUCAAUUAGCUGGAGGUGUGACCCCGCGCACGGGGGGACGUAGAGCGCCUGAGAGCAGCUGCGUGUUUCCCCCCCAGAACGACACCGUCCCCGAGCCCUCAGGCGUCUGCAUGGAGGCUGCUUGGAUCCUCAACAUCUCAGGAAGGGUAACAGACACGGCACAAAGGACUCAUGGAGUCCUAGCCUCCACUAGUGGAGUCCUGGCCCCCACAGAAAGGACUCAUGGAGACCUAACCCCCACAGAAAGGACUCAUGGAGUCCUAGCCUCCACUAGUGGAGUCCUAGCCCCCACAGAAAGGACUCAUGGAGACCUAGCCCCCACAGAAAGGACCCAUGGAGUCCUAGCCCCCACAAAAAGGACCCAUGGAGUCCUAGUCCUAUUUUAUAAUGCAUGUCCUUAAGCGCGGUGUUUAAAUGUCUUCUCAACGAACCAGACCCUGCUCAGAAAACGGUCAUUGUAGAGAACUGUUUUUUUUUUAACUCAAGAAGACAAAAGACAUUCUGAAUUUAAACAAGCGUCUGUCUUUUUAAAGAGGAAAGAUUUACUAUCAUAAUGCUCCUGUUUUAAAACAGUAGGAAGGGAUUAGAAGAAACCAAAACAACUCGCCGUUAAAUAAGCUUGGCAAAUCCUGAUGCCGCUUAACAAGAACCAUGUUUGGAUUUCACUGCGGCAGCGGCCACGGUUGGAGAUGAAAUAUUCCAGCUUUUAUUUUGGAAAUAAAAAAACCCUCAGGAGUGAGUUCAACGGCUUCAUUUUUAAAAAAAGAGAAAAAAUGAUUCAAUCUUUAUUUUCUUGAAGAGGUGUGUGUGUGUGUGUGUGUGUGUGUGUGUGUGUGUGUGUGUGUGUGUGNNNNNNNNNNUGUGCGCGUGUUUUGCUUACACCUGAAUGCGCUGGAUUGAUUGUCCGGCGCUCUCGGGGCAGCGAUGCUUUAUGAUAGGUGCUGCUCGGAUGAAAAAUAGACGGGUGACAUUUUCCAGACUUUUCGCCAUCACUUAACUGGUGAACCAAGUGAGUCGCUCAGUCUUGUGUGAAUUAGCUCAUUGAAAAAUAAAACAGAGAUGCAUUUAUCUCAAAGCAUAUGGUUUACGGCUGAUGCAGCAGCCGGCUAAGUUCUUCCACUAAAUUAACGUCUCAAAGAGUGAUUCUCUAAGAGCGAGUUUAGACAGGUUAAAAAAAAAAAAAAAAGUGAUACUUUCCACGCUGCUGCUUAGCGAGCGAUGUUUAUUUGUGAGCUAAUUUGGCUUCAUUGAGAAGCCCGCUGUGGACGCGCGACAGGCUGAAAUGUGGUCGCAUGUUAGUUGGAGAUAUGCACUUUAUGGGUGAUUUCAUGUCAUAUUCAAGCUGUAAAAUGAGUAUUUGCUGGAAAAGAAACACGCCAAAGUUCUGCUAAUUGGGUGAUAUGAUUUAGCUUGUUUUAUGAGGCCGUCUUUAAUAAACAUUACAAGGCAGAUUUCUCUACUUUAAGGAAACUAAAUCACGCUUCAGCAUUUUUUAAAGGCGUUGUUUCAUUCAUUGGAAAUACUAUACAAAUACUAUACUUUGCACAUACUAUUUCUACAAAAAUACACCAGACGUAUUUGGUUUCUUUGUAAGCUUUUGAAUCUCUGCUGCUUGUUAAUAAAGUGAGUGAAAAUAAAAGAUGACUAUCUUUGAGCAAAUGUUCCCGUUUAAAAAUAUUUAACAAUCAGAAAGUCAAAUGCAUCAUGGUGACACUCA
ensembl:lncRNA